rnacentral:lncRNA from 1 species
UGUGGCUGGAGGGGUGCCAGAGGGGGAAAAUAGAGGAGGGUUAACUAGAGAUGAAGAAGUCAUUACCGACCCGGCUGGCCCCAAGCCUACACCAGCUACCCGUUGCCCCGGGAGCCAGAGGCUGCUGCUGUGGCCAGCAUGGACAGCACUAAACCAAAGCCGCCUCUGUUCUCCACUGCUGGCAGGACCAAGCUGAGACCAGGACCAAAACUGUGGGAUGUGUUGGCCACAUACUUCCAGCCCCACAGCACACAGCAGGCAUGGAGGGCGGGUACAGGGCCCAGCAGGACAGAAAAUCUGCUGGAGCAGAUUCCUGGGAACAGCGUGUCCCUCCUCUUCAGAGGUCUCCUCUUCUUUUCUGAAGCUUUACAGAUAGAUUAUAGAAAAUGACCAGCAUGCAUGAUCCUUGUCUUGUUUCCCAUGUCUAGAAGAAAGCUUGAUCAUCUCAUUAUUAAAGCCAUGAUGACUGUUGAAUUUUAAUAAAGGUACUGUACUGGGUUGCAAAUGAAAGAGAAAUAAGUAUAAAUAUAAAGGAAGAAGAGAACACUAUCCACAGAGAGCAGGAAUUCCAGCCUGGAGUGAAGUAACUGCCAUGAACCACGUGUCUUUCCAAAACAUGCCAGGAAAUUUUGCUAUCCAGAUUCACCUGGACCUCGUAAGUCUCUUUCUGGACCCUUCAAGGACCCUGUCAACAGUGGCUGAAACCAGAAAUGUACCUGAAAGGGCAGCUUCUAGUAGAACUGUAACAGUUUCUGGCCUUUCUGUCUAGGGAGCUUCAGCCCACCUCCAGGAACAGAGACCAUAGAUUGAAGAAGCUGAAAGUCUGCUGGAGAUCUGUUUUUCCAAGAGUGGUUCAAGAAUCAUUAGGGCACUCCAGUAAGAGCUCAUUGUGGCUUUAUUUUUUUAUUUUAUUUUAUUUUAUUUUGAGACGGAGUCUCGCUCUGUUGCCAAGGCU